rnacentral:rRNA from 1 species
UUCCGGUUGAUCCUGCCAGAGGUUACUGCUAUCGGGGUUCGACUAAGCCAUGCGAGUCAAAUGUUCUUCGUGAACAUAGCGAACUGCUCAGUAACACGUGGAUAACUUAACCUUAGGUCCGGCAUAACCCCGGGAAACUGGGGAUAAUUCCGGAUGUAUCAAGGAUGCUGGAAUGCCCUUUGGUUCAAAGCUUUUGUGCCUAAGGAUAGGUCUGCGGUCUAUCAGGUUGUAGUGGGUGUAACGUACCUACUAGCCGACGACGGAUACGGGUUGUGAGAGCAAGAGCCCGGAGAUGGAUUCUGAGACAAGAAUCCAGGCCCUACGGGGUGCAGCAGGCGCGAACACUUUACAAUGCGGGAAACCGCGAUAAGGGAACCCCGAGUGCCAGUACUAAGUGCUGGCUGUCUGGAUGAAUAGAUAUCAUUUAAUAGCAAGGGCCGGGCAAGACCGGUGCCAGCCGCCGCGGUAACACCGGCGGCCCGAGUGGUAACCGAUAUUAUUGGGUCUAAAGGGUCCGUAGCCUGUUUAAUAAGUCCUUUGGGAAAUCUGGCAGCUUAACUGUCAGGCUGCUAAAGGAUACUGUUAAACUUGGGACCGGUAGACGUAGGGGGUACUCCAGGGGUAGGAGUGAAAUCUUGUAAUCCCUGGGGGACCAUCUGUGGCGAAGGCGCCCUACGAGAACGGGUCCGACGGUGAGGGACGAAAGCUAGGGGAGCAAACCGGAUUAGAUACCCGGGUAGUCCUAGCUGUAAACGAUGCUCGCUAGGUGUCAGGCACGGUGCGUCCGUGUCUGGUGCCGCAGGGAAGCCGUUAAGCGAGCCACCUGGGGAGUACGGUCGCAAGGCUGAAACUUAAAGGAAUUGGCGGG